rnacentral:rRNA from 1 species
AUUGAACGCUGGCGGCAUGCUUUACACAUGCAAGUCGAACGGUAACAGGCCGCAAGGUGCUGACGAGUGGCGGACGGGUGAGUAAUGCAUCGGAACGUGCCCAGUCGUGGGGGAUAACUACUCGAAAGAGUAGCUAAUACCGCAUACGAUCUAUGGAUGAAAGCGGGGGACCGUAAGGCCUCGCGCGAUUGGAGCGGCCGAUGUCAGAUUAGGUAGUUGGUGGGGUAAAGGCUCACCAAGCCAACGAUCUGUAGCUGGACUGAGAGGACGACCAGCCACACUGGAACUGAGACACGGCCCAGACUCCUACGGGAGGCAGCAGUGGGGAAUUUUGGACAAUGGGCGCAAGCCUGAUCCAGCAAUGCCGCGUGCAGGAAGAAGGCCUUCGGGUUGUAAACUGCUUUUGUACGGAACGAAACGGCUCUGGUUAAUACCCGGGGCUAAUGACGGUACCGUAAGAAUAAGCACCGGCUAACUACGUG